AAGCGAGCGUACACAGGUGCUGCAUGGCUGUCGUCAGCUCGUGUCGUGAGAUGUUGGGUUAAGGUCCGCAACGAGCGCAACCCCUGCAUUCAGUUGCCAUCGGGUAAGUGCCGGGCACUCUGGAAGGACUGCCAUCGACAAGAUGGAGGAAGGUGGGGAGUGACGUCAAGUCAUCAUGGCCCUUAUGUCCAGGGCGACACACGUGCUACAAUGGCCGGCACAACGGGAAGCGAGUUCGCGAGGACGAGCGGAUCCCUUAAAGCCGGUCGCAGUUCGGAUUGAAGUCUGCAACUCGACUUCAUGAAGCUGGAAUCGCUAGUAAUCGUGGAUCAGCCAAGCCGCGGUGAAUACGUUCCCGGGCCUU
rnacentral:rRNA from 1 species